CCUACGGGCGGCAGCAGUGGGGAAUAUUGGACAAUGGGGGCAACCCUGAUCCAGCCAUGCCGCGUGUGUGAAGAAGGCCCUCGGGUUGUAAAGCACUUUCAAUGAGGAAGAACGCCUGGUGGUUAAUACCCAUCAGGAAAGACAUCACUCACAGAAGAAGCACCGGCUAACUCCGUGCCAGCAGCCGCGGUAAUACGGAGGGUGCGAGCGUUAAUCGGAAUUACUGGGCGUAAAGCGCGCGUAGGUGGCUUGAUAAGCCGGUUGUGAAAGCCCCGGGCUCAACCUGGGAACGGCAUCCGGAACUGUCAAGCUAGAGUGCAGGAGAGGAAGGUAGAAUUCCCGGUGUAGCGGUGAAAUGCGUAGAGAUCGGGAGGAAUACCAGUGGCGAAGGCGGCCUUCUGGACUGACACUGACACUGAGGUGCGAAAGCGUGGGUAGCAAACAGGAUUAGAUACCCGAGUAGUC
rnacentral:rRNA from 1 species